ensembl:miRNA
UGGGUUGGCCAAAAAGUUAGUUUAGGUUUUUCGUAAGAUGGUAUGGAAAAACCUGAAUGAACUUUUUGGCCAGCCCAA